AUAACAGGUCUGUGAUGCCCUUAGAUGUUCUGGGCUGCACGCGCGCUACACUGAUGCACUCAUCGAGUUUACAACCUUGCCUGGAAAGGUUGGGUAAUCUUCUCAAAUUGCAUCGUGAUGGGGAUAGAUUAUUGCGAUUAUUAAUCUUCAACGAGGAAUUCCUAGUAAGCGCGAGUCAUCAGAUCGUGCUGAUUACGUCCCUGCCCUUUGUACACACCGCCCGUCGCUCCUACCGAUUGAGUGUUACAGUGAAUAAUUCGGACUGCCUCUUCGUUUGGAUCCCGAACGAUGCGGCGCAAAGUCUAUUGAACCUUAACACUUAUAGGAAGGAGAAGUCGUAACAAGGUUGCCGUAGGUGAACCUGCUGAAGGAUCA
rnacentral:rRNA from 1 species